rnacentral:rRNA from 1 species
ACGGGGCGCAGCAGGCGCGAAACCUUUACACUGCACGCCAGUGCGAUAAGGGGAUCCCGAGUGCACAGGCAUAGAGCCUGUGCUUUUCUGAACCGUAGGGAGGUUCAGGAACAAGAGCUGGGCAAGACCGGUGCCAGCCGCCGCGGUAAUACCGGCAGCUCGAGUGAUGGCCGAUCUUAUUGGGCCUAAAGCGUCCGUAGCUGGCCUUGCAAGUCCGUCGGGAAAUCCACCCGCUCAACGGGUGGGCGUCCGGCGGAAACUGUGAGGCUUGGGACCGGGAGGCUUGAAGGGUACGUCCGGGGUAGGAGUGAAAUCCUGUAAUCCUGGACGGACCGCCGAUGGGGAAACCACUUCAAGAGAACGGAUCCGACAGUGAGGGACGAAAGCUAGGGUCUCGAACCGGAUUAGAUACCCCUGUAGUCC